rnacentral:rRNA from 1 species
GCAAUGAGGAAACUUAAAGGAAUUGACGGGACUCCGCACAAGCGGUGGAUCAUGUUGUUUAAUUCGAAGGUACCCGAAAAACCUCACCAGGUCUUGACAUGCUUCUGCAAAGCUGUAGAAACACAGUGGAGGUUAUCAGUUGCACAGGUGGUGCAUGGUUGUCGUCAGCUCGUGUCGUGAGAUGUUGGGUUAAGUCCCGCAACGAGCGCAACCCUUAUUGUUAGUUACCAGCACGUAAUGGUGGGGACUUUAGCAAGACUGCCAGUGAUGAAUUGGAGGAAGGUGGGGACGACGUCAAAUCAUCAUGCCCCUUAUGACCUGGGCUACAAACGUGACCUUACAAUGGCUGUUACAAAGAGUAGCUGAAA